GAUGAGACCAAUGUGUCUACGGUGU
rnacentral:piRNA from 1 species